GCUUAUACUCGACCGUCAGCGGCACGUGCGAUCGUUUUAUAAACAACCGAUCACGAAGCCCUGACGAGUAGGAGGGUCGCGGCGGUGAGCGCAGAAGGGCUGGCCGCGAGGCCGUCUGGAGCCGCCGUCGGUGCAGAUCUUGGUGGUAGUAGCAAAUACUCCAGCGAGGCCCUGGAGGACUGACGUGGAGAAGGGUUUCGUGUGAACAGCCGUUGCACACGAGUCAGUCGAUCCUAAGCCCUAGGCGAAAGCCGAUGUCGAUGUGGUGUAGCUUUAUAUAUAGAUAUAAUAUAUUUAUCGCUCACGCACACACCCGUCGGGCGAAAGGGAAUCCGGUUCCUAUUCCGGAACCUGGCAGCGGAACCGUCAAUAAGUCGGGC
rnacentral:rRNA from 1 species